UUGAGUUUGAUCGUGGCUCCGGCUGAACGCUGGCGGCGUGCCUAAUACAUGCAAGUCGAGCGAACAGACGAGGAGCUUGCUCCUUUGACGUUAGCGGCGGACGGGUGAGUAACACGUAGGUAACCUACCUAUAAGACUGGGAUAACUUCGGGAAACCGGAGCUAAUACCGGAUAAUAUUUCGAACCGCAUGGUUCGAUAGUGAAAGAUGGCUUUGCUAUCACUUAUAGAUGGACCUGCGCCGUAUUAGCUAGUUGGUAAGGUAACGGCUUACCAAGGCAACGAUACGUAGCCGACCUGAGAGGGUGAUCGGCCACACUGGAACUGAGACACGGUCCAGACUCCUACGGGAGGCAGCAGUAGGGAAUCUUCCGCAAUGGGCGAAAGCCUGACGGAGCAACGCCGCGUGAGUGAUGAAGGUCUUCGGAUCGUAAAACUCUGUUAUUAGGGAAGAACAAACGUGUAAGUAACUGUGCACGUCUUGACGGUACCUAAUCAGAAAGCCACGGCUAACUACGUGCCAGCCGCCGCCGUAACACAA
rnacentral:rRNA from 1 species